AACGAACGCUGGCGGCGUGGAUAAGACAUGCAAGUCGAACGCUGAUUUCAGGGUAGCAAUAUUCUGGAGUCGGAGUGGCGCAAGGGUGCGUAACACGUGGGUAAUUUGCCAUGAAGCCCGGAAUAACUCGCUGAAAGGCGAGCUAAUACCGGAUGUGAUAUUCGGGAGGCAUCUCCUGAACCUUAAAGCUGGGGACCGUAAGGCCUGGCACUUCUUGAUAAGCCCGCGGCCUAUCAGCUAGUUGGUGAGGUAACGGCUCACCAAGGCUAAGACGGGUAGCUGGUCUGAGAGGACGACCAGUCACACUGGGACUGAGACACGGUCCAGACACCUACGGGUGGCAGCAGUCGAGAAUUUUUCUCAAUGGGCGAAAGCCUGAAGGAGCGACGCCGCGU
rnacentral:rRNA from 1 species